rnacentral:lncRNA from 1 species
UUCAAACCAUAAGCAACUUCAUUUUCUUUAGAACCCAAGAGUUUGGGAGUAAAAAGUUAAGGGGUUUAUUUUUUUAUUUUACCCUUUAAAUGCUCUUUUUAUGCUUGCAAAACUAUCUAAAGCUUGAGAUACAUGCAUGUUGGUUUGGGUAUUGCGAUGUAUAUGUGUGCUUGACAAACACUUGAUUAUGCCAGUUUUCUUAUGAUUAAAUGAUCUCAUUUUGCUGAUUUGUUUGUGUGCAAUGAGUAUUAUGAGUACUUGACGGAAACAUGGUAAGGUUUGGAAUGAUUUUACGAGGGAAUGUUAAAUGGUUUCUUUGUAG